rnacentral:rRNA from 1 species
AGAUUGAGAGCGGUUAGUGGCGGACUGGUGAGUAACACGUAAGCAACCUGCCUAUCAGAGGGGAAUAACAGUGAGAAAUCAUUGCUAAUACCGCAUAAGCUAGUAGUAUCGCAUGAUAUAGCUAGAAAAGGAGCAAUCCGCUGAUAGAUGGGCUUGCGUCUGAUUAGCUAGUUGGUGGGGUAACGGCCUACCAAGGCGACGAUCAGUAGCCGGACUGAGAGGUUGAACGGCCACAUUGGGACUGAGAUACGGCCCAGACUCCUACGGGAGGCAGCAGUCGGGAAUAUUGCGCAAUGGAGGAAACUCUGACGCAGUGACGCCGCGUAUAGGAAGAAGGUUUUCGGAUUGUAAACUAUUGUCGUGAGGGAAGAAAUUGACAGUACCUCAGGAGGAAGCUCCGGCUAACUAUGUGCCAGCAGCCGCGGUAAUACAUAGGGAGCAAGCGUUAUCCGGAUUUAUUGGGUGUAAAGGGUGCGUAGACGGGAAAUUAAGUUAGUUGUGAAAUCCCUCGGCUUAACUGAGGAACUGCAACUAAAACUGAUUUUCUUGAGUACUGGAGAGGAAAGUGGAAUUCCUAGUGUAGCGGUGAAAUGCGUAGAUAUUAGGAGGAACACCAGUGGCGAAGGCGACUUUCUGGACAGUAACUGACGUUGAGGCACGAAAGUGUGGGGAGCAAACAGGAUUAGAUACCCUGGUAGUCCACACUGUAAACGAUGGAUACUAGGUGUAGGAUGUAUUAAGCAUUCUGUGCCGCCGCUAACGCAUUAAGUAUCCCAC